rnacentral:misc_RNA from 1 species
GAUGAAGAACGCAGCGAAAUGCGAUAAGUAGUGUGAAUUGCAGAAUUCAGUGAAUCAUCGAAUCUUUGAACGCACAUUGCGCCCCUUGGUAUCCCGAGGGGCAUGCCUGUUCGAGCGUCAUUUCACCACUCAAGCCUGGCUUGGUGUUGGGCGACGUCCCCUUUGGGGACGCGCCUCGAAACGCUCGGCGGCGUGGCACCGGCUUUAAGCGUAGCAGAAUCUUUCGCUUUGGAAGUCGGGGCCCCGUCUGCCGGAAGACCUACUCGCAAGGUUGACCUCGGAUCAGGCAGGGAUACCCGCUGAACUUAAGCAUAUCAAUAAGAGGAGGA